GUGGGGUUGUGGCUCAGUGGUAGAGCACUUGCUUCACAUGUGUGAAGCACUGGAUUCAAUCCUCAGCACCACA
rnacentral:tRNA from 1 species